CGAAUAAUCAGGAUUAUGGAUCACGGUCAUUUUGGCUGUUGUUGUUGUCUUCAUUCAAUUCAUGGAAAACUGAUUAAAAUGGCGGAAAUGAUGGAGAAUGAUAGCGUUGAAACUACAAGUGCGAAAGAUUUUCUUUCAAUCGAAGACGACAUAAGCAAUGGCAUUCUUCAGCUCUUGAAGCCAGCUGUGGAAGAAGUUGAUAACAGAGUACUCGAUGUCAGACAAAGUCAGCUGAGUUUAAGAGAAAAAAUUGAAACCCUCACAUCAGAUCUUCAGAAGCUUGUUGAACAGCAGAAACCUCCAAUUGAUCUUGAAAUCUACGUCAAGAAGCUGCUAAAUUGCCGGCGAAGGGUCAUCGUUGUCAACAGUGUUUUGAAUAACACCCACGAAAGACUGAACAAGCUGCAGCAAAAUAUCAUCAGGGAAACAAACAAGAAAAAGUCGGCAUUGGAUGCUUCUCUUUAUCCUUCUUGAAGUUGGGAAUGCUGCUCAUUAAAUGCUACAUUUAUUCAUGUGACAACAUUUCAUGUACAAGUAAAGAACAACAUUUUGUCCAAGUGGGAGUUAACACCAGUGGCAGCGAGUAUAAGUAAGUGGAAACAAGUUUGGCUUUGAACUUUUGCAAAGAGCAUUCAAAACUAAAUUAUAAAUGAAUCAACAUUUUAAACAGUAAGUCAGAAAAUCUCACGUUGCAAGAUAUAGUUGAACACUUAAAAGUUAAGAGAAAAGUACCAUAAAUAUAUAUUUCUUGGUGAUUGUUUAGUUCUAAAGGUUCUAGAGAUCUGUGUAUCAGAGAAAAGGACAGAAUACACUACAUUUUGCAAAUAUUUCUGUAAAUUUCCAGAGAUCACCUAAAACUCUGUUGAUCCUUUGCCAAUUCUCCUGCCAUUUAUGUUUUGAAAAAUUUUGAAGCAUUAAGGUGUUUUGUUAUAUUUACACCAUGACAAAUGUUUGAAGAUGGACUGGUUAUUCAAGAAACACCUACUGCUUUGUUCAAGUCUCAAAGGCUGCCAGAGAAAUGAAAAAUGAAACAGAUCAAAAGUUUAUAUUAAAAAGUGAUGUUUUAUUUCCACUGCCUUUUUUAGAGUGACAUAGAGUGGGGGUACAGUGGUAAAACAAGGAUUCUUUGAAUGGGAGUGCAAAGCAUUAUUGACCUUUCAUUCUAUGGUAUUCUAUGAGUUAAAUCACAACAUUGAAAAUAAGAAUUAUGUGUAGAGGAAUCAUAACAAUCUGUCUCUAAGUUUGCUGGGGGCUUGAUAGAGAGGAGGGAUUUACUUCAUAUUUUUGCUUCAAAUUUCUGCUUUAAGAAAGAACUUUGACAGAGCUUUUACAGUAAAGUGUGAACACUUUCUUUUAGAUUUUUUGCAAAUGUAAACUAAAAUGGAUGAUGUGAAUUACACUUGAGAUCUGGUUCAAUCAGCUAAAACUAUCAAUUUAACCUGAAUAAACUUCAACUAACCAGCCAAACGAUGGACAAAGCCAGGCUAUUGAUCAUUUCUUAUAAAUUCCUCCAAUUUUUUAAAAAAUAACAGCUAAAACUGUUUCAAAUGUUUUGUUUUCUUGUUAUUUUGUACCAUUUGAAAAACUGUAAAUCAAGCAAACUGAGUUUUUUAUAUUCA